rnacentral:tRNA from 1 species
GGUGGCACAGUGGUUAAGCGUUUGGCUGCUAAUCAAAUGGUCGGUGGUUCAAAUUCACCAGCCA